rnacentral:rRNA from 1 species
CACGGGGGGAGCAAGCGUUGUUCGGAAUCACUGGGCGUAAAGGGCGCGUAGGCGGUCAUGUAAGUGGGAUGUGAAAGCCCUCGGCUCACCCGAGGAUCUGCAUCUCAAACUGCAUGGCUUGAGUAUGGGAGAGGAUGAGGGAAUUCCUGGUGUAGCGGUGAAAUGCGUAGAUAUCAGGAGGAACACCGGUGGCGAAGGCGCUCAUCUGGCCCAAUACUGACGCUGAGGCGCGAAAGCUAGGGGAGCAAACGGG